rnacentral:rRNA from 1 species
UGGGGGAUAUUGCGCAAUGGGGGCAACCCUGACGCAGCAACGCCGCGUGAAGGAUGAAGGUUUUCGGAUUGUAAACUUCUUUUAUUAAGGACGAAACUUGACGGUACUUAAUGAAUAAGCUCCGGCUAACUACGUGCCAGCAGCCGCGGUAAUACGUAGGGAGCAAGCGUUGUCCGGAUUUACUGGGUGUAAAGGGUGCGUAGGCGGCUUUGCAAGUCAGAUGUGAAAUCUAUGGGCUCAACCCAUAAACUGCAUUUGAAACUGUAGAGCUUGAGUGAAGUAGAGGCAGGCGGAAUUCCCCGUGUAGCGGUGAAAUGCGUAGAGAUGGGGAGGAACACCAGUGGCGAAGGCGGCCUGCUGGGCUUUAACUGACGCUGAGGCACGAAAGCGUGGGUAGCAAACAGGAUUAGAUACCCUGGUAGUCCACGCUGUAAACGAUGAUUACUAGGUGUGGGGGGUCUGACCCCUUCCGUGCCGGAGUUAACACAAUAAGUAAUCCACCUGGGGAGUACGGCCGCAAGGUUGAAACUCAAAGGAAUUGACGGGGGCCCGCACAAGCAGUGGAGUAUGUGGUUUAAUUCGAAGCAACGCGAAGAACCUUACCAGGUCUUGACAUCCAACUAACGAAGUAGAGAUACAUUAGGUGCCCUUCGGGGAAAGUUGAGACAGGUGGUGCAUGGUUGUCGUCAGCUCGUGUCGUGAGAUGUUGGGUUAAGUCCCGCAACGAGCGCAACCCUUGUGAUUAGUUGCUACGCAAGAGCACUCUAAUCAGACUGCCGUUGACAAAACGGAGGAAGGUGGGGACGACGUCAAAUCAUCAUGCCCUUUAUGACCUGGGCUACACACGUACUACAAUGGUCGUUAACAGAGGGAAGCAAUACCGCGAGGUGGAGCAAAACCCUAAAAACGGUCUCAGUUCAGAUUGUAGGCUGCAACUCGCCUACAUGAAGUUGGAAUUGCUAGUAAUCGCGGAUCAGCAUGCCGCGGUGAAUACGUUCCC